rnacentral:rRNA from 1 species
AAUAUUGGACAAUGGGCUCAAGCCUGAUCCAGCCAUACCGCGGGGGUGAAGAAGGCCUUCGGGUUUUAAAGCCCUCUUGUUGGGAAAGAAAAGCAGUCGGUUGAUACCCGAUUGUUCUGACGGUACCCAAACAAUAAGCACCGGCUACCUUCCUCCCAGCACCCGCGGGAAUACGAAGGGUGCAAGCGUCACUCGGAAUUACUGGGCGUAAAGCGUGCGUAGGGCGUUGUUUAAGUCUGUAGUAAAAGCCCUGGGUUCAACCUGGGAAUUGCGAUGGAAACUGGGCGACUAGAGUGCGGCAGAGGGUAGUGGAAUUCCUGGUGUAGCAGUGAAAUGCGUAGAGAUCAGGAGGAACAUCCGUGGCGAAGGCGACUGCCUGGGCCAACACUGACACUGAGGCACGAAAGCGUGGGGAGCAAACAGG